CUUGUCCUUCUUGUCUUGCUUUGUUGCUUUAAUUGUUCUAAGGAAAGUUAAAGAAAAAGAGAAGAAAAACAGUUGUUAUUUUAAUUAAGAUUUUAUGUUUAAUUACUGUUUCACUUAGUUUUUUUUUAAUUAUUGUUCUGUUUAAUACCGUUUAAUUUCCUGCUUUUGUUAAUGAACAAGUUAGCUUAUAGUUAAUUAGUAUUAAUUAGUUCAAUCAUGUUCUAAACUUUCAGCAUUCAUAAUUUUACAGUUGUUUGUCAUUCAAUAUUUGGUUUGUAUGAGUUUGGGCUUCUGUGUGUCGCUGGUUUGGACAGUAGAAGGCCAAUUUGUUUGAACCUAAACCUUUGGUCAGUUGGCCCAAUAAUUGGUAUUGUUGGAAAGUAAAUACAAGGGUAUUGGGGGGUUAAAUUGGGGCUUUUGACUUGAAGAACAUUUUCUGUUAUGACAAAAGAAGAGUCUAGAAGAUAAGGUAAGGUUUUAUUCAAAUAAAAUAAAAACAUCUCAGCUGUUUUUGGGGUCUAGAGGGGUAAAACAAAAGCUUGAAGGGUAAAAUUGAAUGAAAAAACCAGAUAUAUGGUUGCCCUAGAAUACUCAUAUAAAGGGCUCAUUUCACUCACUUUGAGAGCAGAGAAAAACAUAGAAAAAAGAAGAAAAAGACUGCAUACAUAGAAAUAGAAGUUUUCAUAAAAAACAAAGAAAAUGGUUGGAUUUCAGUUCUGAUAUCGAAUUUUUCACUUCAUUUCUUUCUGGAUUUCUGGAUUUGUCAUUUGUUGUGUAGCUGGGAUAUUGAAGCUGUUUUCCUGGAUGGAAACUUGCUUUUAGAUUUGCCUUUGAAAAAGCAACUACAGGUAACUCUAUGGCCAUAACAUUAAUUGAUUUCCCACAUUAAUUUAGACUUCAACAUGUGUAUCCUUCUAACAAAUACUCGUUGCUUAUAUUUGAACAUUAUAAAAAAUCUAAAUCUGUUUCAUAGCUUCUUGAUAAGUUGAGGUUCAGUGGAUCAUUUGCAGGUCAGUACUUGUGGAUCUAGCCACUCGUUGGUUCGAUUUGCAGUUCAAGGCAUGAGCAAAGUUACACCUCUAUCACAUUUUCGUGGUUUGGGUCUGUUAUACUUUAAAUAUUAUCUAGGAUUUGAUCAUGUGAAGCUUGGGCAUUCUAUAAUGAAGGAUGGGCGUGUGAUUUUGAGCCUAUAGUUGUGUAUUUUAUAAAUGGCAGUAUAUGUGUUUAGAUGUCCAUUCAAAAAACUUAUUUGUACAGUUAUUCACCUAUUGUAUUAAAGUUAUUGUACUAUUUAGUCUUGUCUUCUACUAAUAA